ensembl:misc_RNA Metazoa_SRP Metazoan signal recognition particle RNA
GCCAGGCAUGGCGAUGUGUGUCUGUAGUCUCAGUUACUCAGGAGGCUGAAGCAGGAGGAUUGCUUGAGCCCAGGGAGCUGGAGGCUGCAGUGAACCAUGAUGGCACCACUACACUCCAGCCUGGGCAACAGAGCAAGACCUUGUUUCUU